rnacentral:misc_RNA from 1 species
UUCCUUCUUUUGUAGAAGAUAUGAAGGUAUUCCAAAGAGAGAGAAUGAAUGGUCACUAUGGUGUCAUUGCUUUUGUCAUUAGCAAUACAAUCUCUGCAAUGCCGUUCCUGAUAAUAAUCACUUUUAUCUCUGGAACUCUUUGUUACUUCAUGGUCCGUCUUCACCCAGGUUUCGAACAUUAUUUAUUCUUCGUAUUGUGCCUUUAUGCGAGCGUCACAGUGGUUGAAAGCUUGAUGAUGGCCAUAGCUAGCAUUGUCCCCAACUUCCUCAU